rnacentral:misc_RNA from 1 species
AGCAGCCGCGGUAAUUCCAGCUCCAAUAGCGUAUAUUAAAGUUGUUGCAGUUAAAAGCUCGUAGUUGAAUUUCGGGAUUGACGUGAUGGUCAUGCCUUAAGGGGUAUGAACUGUUACUGUUGAUUUCUCACCUUCUGGAGAAACUUGAUGUCCUUUAUUGGGUGUCUUGCGGAUCCAGGACCUUUACCUUGAAAAAAUUAGAGUGUUUAAAGCAGGCAUUUUUGCUCGAAUACAUUAGCAUGGAAUAAUAGAAUAGGACGGCAUGGUUCUAUUUUGUUGGUUUCUAGGAUCACCGUAAUGAUUAAUAGGGAUAGUUGGGGGCAUUAGUAUUCAAUUGUCAGAGGUGAAAUUCUUGGAUUUAUUGAAGACUAACUACUGCGAAAGCAUUUGCCAAGGAUGUUUUUCAUUAAUCAAGAACGAAAGUUAGGGGAUCGAAGACGAUCAGAUACCGUCGUAGUCUUAACCAUAAACUAUGCCGACUAGGAAUCAGACGAUGUCAAUUUUUUAAUGACUCGUUUGG